rnacentral:rRNA from 1 species
AACCGCAUGGUUCAAAAGUGAAAGACGGUCUUGCUGUCACUUAUAGAUGGAUCCGCGCUGCAUUAGCUAGUUGGUAAGGUAACGGCUUACCAAGGCAACGAUGCAUAGCCGACCUGAGAGGGUGAUCGGCCACACUGGAACUGAGACACGGUCCAGACUCCUACGGGAGGCAGCAGUAGGGAAUCUUCCGCAAUGGGCGAAAGCCUGACGGAGCAACGCCGCGUGAGUGAUGAAGGUCUUCGGAUCGUAAAACUCUGUUAUUAGGGAAGAACAUAUGUGUAAGUAACUGUGCACAUCUUGACGGUACCUAAUCAGAAAGCCACGGCUAACUACGUGCCAGCAGCCGCGGUAAUACGUAGGUGGCAAGCGUUAUCCGGAAUUAUUGGGCGUAAAGCGCGCGUAGGCGGUUUUUUAAGUCUGAUGUGAAAGCCCACGGCUCAACCGUGGAGGGUCAUUGGAAACUGGAAAACUUGAGUGCAGAAGAGGAAAGUGGAAUUCCAUGUGUAGCGGUGAAAUGCGCAGAGAUAUGGAGGAACACCAGUGGCGAAGGCGACUUUCUGGUCUGUAACUGACGCUGAUGUGCGAAAGCGUGGGGAUCAAACAGGAUUAGAUACCCUGGUAGUCCACGCCGUAAACGAUGAGUGCUAAGUGUUAGGGGGUUUCCGCCCCUUAGUGCUGCAGCUAACGCAUUAAGCACUCCGCCUGGGGAGUACGACCGCAAGGUUGAAACUCAAAGGAAUUGACGGGGACCCGCACAAGCGGUGGAGCAUGUGGUUUAAUUCGAAGCAACGCGAAGAACCUUACCAAAUCUUGACAUCCUUUGACAACUCUAGAGAUAGAGCCUUCCCCUUCGGGGGACAAAGUGACAGGUGGUGCAUGGUUGUCGUCAGCUCGUGUCGUGAGAUGUUGGGUUAAGUCCCGCAACGAGCGCAACCCUUAAGCUUAGUUGCCAUCAUUAAGUUGGGCACUCUAAGUUGACUGCCGGUGACAAACCGGAGGAAGGUGGGGAUGACGUCAAAUCAUCAUGCCCCUUAUGAUUUGGGCUACACACGUGCUACAAUGGACAAUACAAAGGGCAGCGAAACCGCGAGGUCAAGCAAAUCCCAUAAAGUUGUUCUCAGUUCGGAUUGUAGUCUGCAACUCGACUACAUGAAGCUGGAAUCGCUAGUAAUCGUAGAUCAGCAUGCUACGGUGAAUACGUUCCCGGGUCUUGUACACACCGCCCGUCACACCACGAGAGUUUGUAACACCCGAAGCCGGUGGAGUAACCUUUUAGGAGCUAGCCGUCGAAGGUGGGACAAAUGAUUGGGGUGAAGUCGUAACAAGGUAGCCGUAUCGGAAGGUGCGG